rnacentral:rRNA from 1 species
AUGGCAGCACCGCAGAGUUCAAUAGCGAUGGUGCCGUCGAGGUGCACUGCAGAGAUGCACACGGCGACGGUCGCGGUCGAGAUCUCUGGCUACAGCCGUCUCAAGGGCCUCGGGAGAGGCAAAUAUCUCCGUUCUCCGGCAUUCCUCAUCGGGGGCUACGAAUGGUGCAUAUACUACUUCCCCGACGGAAGCCCAGACGAGGCGAGCGAAGGUCACGUAUCUGUCUUCCUCAAGCUCUUGACCAAGAACGCCGAGGUGAAGGCGCUCCACGAGUGGAUGCGUUUGAAUCGGGUUAGUGGGCAGUCGAUUGUGGCGCUCUCCCGCAAAGGGCCAGACGUGUUCGAGCGUAAAAAAUCUUGGGGCGUACCAAAGUUCAUGCAGACCACUGCUGAAGUAGAGUCGGCGUACCUGCAGAACGAUUGUCUCCUGAUCGAGUGCAAAGUCAGUGUUAUCACGGAAAUACUCAGUAUCUAUGUGCCGCCCUCUGACAUUUUGGAUAAUAUCGCAACCUUGCUAGAGGGGAAGAUAGGAGGAGACGUGACUUUCAAGGUUCAAGGGGAGGUCUUUUCCGCGCAUAAGAUUUUGCUUGCGAUGCGAUCGGCGGUCUUCAACGCGGAGUUCUAUGGUCCGUUGGGGGACAAAGGUGUACAGGACAUAAUUAUUAACGACAUGCAGCCUGCUGUUUUCAAGGCAUUUCUUCACUUCAUCUACACCGAUUCAUUGCCUUCCAUGGAUGAUCUUGAUGAUGAUGACAAAAGAGAAAUGGUUAAGCACUUACUUGUGGCUGCAGAUAAGUAUGCGAUGGAAAGGAUGAAGAGGGUAUGUGAAGGGAUGCUAUGCAAGUGUCUUGAUGUUGAGACCGUGGCGACCAUAUUAGCUCUGGCUGACCAGCAUCAUUGCAGCAACCUCAAAGAUGCUUGCACUGAAUUUAUGUUCUCUUCAAAUAGAUUGAAUGAUGUGAUCGCAAGCCAAGGGUAUGUUCAACUCAAAAGAUCUUCUCCUGAUAUCAUUGUAGAUGUGUUGGAGAGAGCAGCCAAGUCCCGCAAAAUUUAG